rnacentral:rRNA from 1 species
UGAGGAAUAUUGGGCAAUGGACGAAAGUCUGACCCAGCCAUGCCGCGUGCAGGAAGACGGCCCUAUGGGUUGUAAACUGCUUUUCUAUGGGAAGAAACACUCCGACGUGUCGGAACUUGACGGUACCAUAGGAAUAAGGAUCGGCUAACUCCGUGCCAGCAGCCGCGGUAAUACGGAGGAUCCAAGCGUUAUCCGGAUUCAUUGGGUUUAAAGGGUGCGUAGGCGGAAUAGUAAGUUAGUGGUGAAAGCC